CACACACACACACACAGUCUCUCUCACACAAACACACAUGCUCUCUCUCUCUCUCUCUCUCACAGACACACACACACACACACACACACACACACACACACACACACACACACACACACACACACGUCGGGGCAUAUUAGUCCAGGGUAGACUGUGAUAAUCUAAAGAUCCGUGUUUCCUAAAGUAGUCAUUUAAAGAUCUCUUGAGAGGGCUGGAGAGACGGGGCGGGGUUGAGAGUACUGGAUGCUCUUCCAGAGUCUGAUCUAGGUUCGGUUCCCAGCACCCACCCGUGUGGUGGCUCACAACCAUCUGCAUCUGUAGUUCCAGGGAUUCUGGUGCCCUCUUCUGGCCUCCAGGGCUCCAGGCCCACAUGCAUGCACGCACACAUCAAAAGAGUAAUAAGAGUCGGCUUGGAAGAGGCAGGAAGUCACAGGAGUGUCACUGUGCUGUGCCGCACCACCAGCGUGCUUCCCUCACUACUGUUUCCCGCUCCUACCGGGUCCAGCCUGGUAGAAGAGCUGACCCCAAGGGGCACAGGCCCAUUGGCGUUUUGAGUGGGCGUGUGGAAGGAGGGAAGCCUGGAGACUUCCUGGAGGAUGGGAGGCGAGGAAGGGUCUGCUGAGGAGGCGGCACAAGGGGCACUGCCCAGCGCCCGCUACAGGCUUUAGCAGGGCGUCACUUCUGCUAAGGACGGCUGUUCUGCAGCAAGGGAAGGCUGAGAGGGAGCCCAGCUAGCAUCUGAGCCAGGUCCCCACACCCUGUCCGUAUCCUCCCGCCCGUGCAGACAUCCUCCCGCCUGCAGAGAGGACCGCGAGUGAGCGUGGUGUGUGUGUGUGUGUGUGUGUGAGAGAGAGAGAGAGAGAGAGAGAGAGAGAGAGAGAGAGAGAGAGAGAGAGACAGAGCGUGUGUGUUGUCUGUGUGAGUGUAUGUGUGUGUGUGUGAGACAGCGUGUGUGUCUCUGUGUGAGCGUAUGUGUGUGAGCGCGCGCGCGUGUGUGUGAGAGAGAGUGCGUGUGUGAAUGUGUGUGUGUGAGACAGAGUACGUUUGUGUGUGUGUGUGUGGUGAGUGUGUGUGUGUGUGGUGAGUGGGUGUAUGUGUGUGUGAGUGUGUGUGUGUGAGAGAGAGACAGAGCGCGUGUGUGUCUCUGUGUGAGCGCGUGUGUUGUCUGUGUGAGUGUAUGUGUGUGUGUGUGAGAGAGAGACAGAGCGCGUGUGUGUCUCUGUGUGAGCGCGUGUGUUGUCUGUGUGAGUGUAUGUGUGUGUGUGUGAGAGAGAGACAGAGCGCGUGUGUCUCUGUGAGCGCGUGUGUGUAUGUGAGAGUGCAUGUGUGAAUGUGUGUGAGCAUGUGUAUGUGUGUGUGUGAGACAGACAGAGUACGUUUGUGUGAGUGUGUGUGUGGUGAGUGUGUGUAUGUGUGUGUGUGAGUUGUGUGUGUAGGGGGGGGUUCCUGCUGCCUUCUUUGGGAAGCCAGUCUUCUUUCUCAUCCACGGCCCAAGUCCAUCCAUUGGAAACAAGAUAAGCCCACACAAUUACUGCAGCUGACAGGGCCGUGGACCCCGCCCCCCAGGGGAUCCAGGGACAGAGGCUCUUCCUGCUGACAGAUCACGAUACUGGGGCUUCAUUGGGCCGAGGUCUGCGAAGCGUUUGCUGGCACAUUUCUCACAGGGGCUUCCAAGCACCUUGCCCUUGCCCUAGAAGUGUUUCACACCUGUCUGUCGCUGGCUGGAGGCCUGGGGCCAGGCUGGCCUGUUCCACCACUGGUUCCCACAGCUCCCGGGAUGAAGGGGCUGCUCAGCUCCUAUUCAGGGUUUGUCUUGCUUCCACGCCAGGCCUUCCCUCUGCUGGGACUCUCCUGGAGAGCGUUCCGUGUCCGUUCUGCGGAGGCCACCAGGGUGCGGGAUGUGUGCUGAGGUUUGUCCUGCCCGUGUGUGCUGAGACAAACGUCGUUAGGAACGCAUGGCUCCGUGGUGGCGCUCCUCCGAAGCCCCAGGGUCCGGGACUCGGAGCGGCUGUUGGGAGGUCGUCGUCGCUGUUACAUGGCGAGUCUGAAGCUUGGUUGCUGGUUGGUGAAUGCCUCCCUCCCUCCCUCCCUCGCUCACUCUUUUCCAGGAGUUCACCCGCAGGUGUUACUCGGCUGACUGCUGAUGGGCGUUUGGGGCCCCGCCUGUCGCAUGUCGCCUGUCGCCUGUCGCGGGGCUGGGCAGCCCUCCGGGCGGGUGUCCAUCUCCACAGCUGCAAAGGUUGGUUUCAGGCUCAAACUGCUGCACAGCCGCAAUUCUAGCUAACAGUUGGUUUCUCUGCAGUGACUUUCGGGGCGCCUUCUCCGAAGGGCCGGAAGGGCCGGUGCGUGUGUCCCCUAGGCCACCUGUUUCCGUGCCCUGCGCGCUGCCGAGCCGAAUGCCCGCCCGUGCGGACACCGAGGUGCGGCUUCCCGGCGGCUCCGCUCCGGGGCUCCUUCUAGUCCCUUCCGGGCGCCGCGCGGGCAUUAGCUCUGCCCUCCGCCUCGCUGCCUCGGGGUCCCCGCGUUGUCACACUCAGCAGGGACGGGACGGGAGCCCAGGAGCCCGGGACCGGCUGGUGCGCUCCGUGCCCUGGCUCGGAAGCUGUCACCUCCCGACGCGCUCCCGAUGACCUUAGCUGCCCCGCACGCGACCCAGCGGCGGUGGGCGCGGCGGCCCGCGAGGGCAGAUAUAUGGACGGACCGCACCGCUCCCCCUCCCGCGCCCCUCCCGG
ensembl:lncRNA